rnacentral:rRNA from 1 species
UACGGAGGGUGCGAGCGUUGUCCGGAAUCAUUGGGCGUAAAGGGCGCGUAGGUGGCGGUGACAAGCGUGCGGUGAAAGCUCGGGGCUCAACCCCGCGUCGGCCGUGCGAACUGUUUUGCUUGAGCACUGUAGAGGCAGGCGGAAUUCCGGGUGUAGCGGUGGAAUGCGUAGAGAUCCGGAAGAACACCGGUGGCGAAGGCGGCCUGCUGGGCAGUAGCUGACACUGAGGCGCGACAGCGUGGGGAGCAAACAGG